UACGGAGGGUGCAAGCGUUAUCCGGAUUCACUGGGUUUAAAGGGUGCGUAGGCGGCGGGGCAAGUCUGAUGUGAAAUCCCGGGGCUCAACCCCGGAACUGCAUUGGAUACUGCCUUGCUAGAGUACUGGAGAGGAGACUGGAAUUUACGGUGUAGCAGUGAAAUGCGUAGAGAUCGUAAGGAAGACCAAUGGCGAAGGCAAGUCUCUGGACAGUGACUGACGCUGAGGCACGAAGGCCAGGGGAGCAAACGGG
rnacentral:rRNA from 1 species